rnacentral:rRNA from 1 species
UACGUAGGGUGCGAGCGUUGUCCGGAAUUAUUGGGCGUAAAGGGCUCGUAGGCGGUUUGUCGCGUCGGGAGUGAAAUCCACUGGCUUAACUGGUGGCUUGCUUUCGAUACGGGCAGACUGGAGGUAUGCAGGGGGAGAACGGAAUUCCUGGUGUAGCGGUGAAAUGCGCAGAUAUCAGGAAGAACACCGGUGGCGAAGGCGGCUCUCUGGGCCUUACCUGACGCUGAGGAGCGAAAGCGUGGGUAGCGAACAGG